rnacentral:rRNA from 1 species
AUUUAGCCAUGCAUGCCAGCGAAGCUUUUAUGUGAAGCGGCGGACAGCUCAGUAAUACAGUUAUUAUUUACUCGUGGUAAGUAAAUGGAUAUCCAUGGUAAACUAUGGGUAAUACAUGUACGGAUUAUGAAUUUGGUGAAACAAAUAUAAUUUACAGGUAUAUUAUAUAUGCCGACCACGACUAAGUUUCUGGCCUAUCAGCUAUUAGAAGGUAGGGUAAUGGCCUACCUUGGCUAUGACGGGUAACGGGAGAUCAGUGUCUGAUACCGGAGAGGGAGCCUGAGAAAUAGCUCCCACGUCUAAGGACGGCAGCAGGCGCGAAACUUACCCAAUCUCUAUUUUAGGAGGAGGUAGUGAAGAGACAUGAGAUAUUUUAUCUAUAGACCUUACAGUAAAUAAGUAAGGAAUCGACUGGAGGGCAAGUCUGGUGCCAGCAGCCGCGGUAAUUCCAGCUCCAGUAGCGCAUAUACUUGUUGCUGCAGUUAAAAAGUCCGUAGUUGAUCAUUUUUUUGUACUGUGAGUAAAAUACGGAGUUUUGAACUCAAAGCAAAGUAAUUUAGCAUGGGACAUAUUGAAGAUAGGAACAGAUGAUGGUGAUAGUAUUCAAUAGUUAGAGGUGAAAAUUGAUGACCUAUUGAGGACUUUCCGAAGCGAAGGCGAUCACCAAGGAUGUAUCCGUUAAUCAAGGACUUAAGCCGGAGGAUCGAAGAUGAUUAGAUACCGUCGUAGUUCCGGCUGUAAACUAUGCCAACUAGGUGAGGCCAAAAGGCUGUGCCUUAAGAGAAAUUAAGAGUUUUUGGGCUCUGGGGAUAGUACAAUCGCAAGAUAGAAACUUAAAGAAAUU